rnacentral:rRNA from 1 species
AUUGAACGCUGGCGGCAUGCCUUACACAUGCAAGUCGAAUGGUAACAGGUCUUCGGAUGCUGACGAGUGGCGAACGGGUGAGUAAUACAUCGGAACGUGCCCGAUCGUGGGGGAUAACGAAGCGAAAGCUUUGCUAAUACCGCAUACGAUCUACGGAUGAAAGCAGGGGACCGCAAGGCCUUGCGCGAACGGAGCGGCCGAUGGCAGAUUAGGUAGUUGGUGGGAUAAAAGCUUACCAAGCCGACGAUCUGUAGCUGGUCUGAGAGGACGACCAGCCACACUGGGACUGAGACACGGCCCAGACUCCUACGGGAGGCAGCAGUGGGGAAUUUUGGACAAUGGGCGAAAGCCUGAUCCAGUCAUGCCGCGUGCAGGAUGAAGGCCUUCGGGUUGUAAACUGCUUUUGUACGGAACGAAAAGACUCUGGUUAAUACCUGGGGUCCAUGACGGUACCGGAAGAAUAAGCACCGGCUAACUACGUG